CGUACAAGUUCUUGUCCACGUAAACGUUUGAUGAGAUCAGUCUGUUACUAUUGGUAUUUAGAUCAUUAGAGUCCCACCAUGUGAGUCUUAUGUUAUGGUAGGGUAGCUAUCCUUGGCAGCCAGCUCUUUCACCCUUUUGUACACGUCAUGAGUCUAUUGAUGAAAAGGUCCAUGAAUCCACUUUAUUCACCAGCUUGGUUUAUUAUCUUUUCUCUCCCUUCCAUUCUUAUGUUCUACUCCCUCCGAUCCAUAUUAAUUGUCUCUGAUUUAGUACAACUUUUUACUAAAUCAGCGACAAUUCUUUUGUACACGUCAUGAGUCUAUUGAUGAAAAGGUCCAUGAAUCCACUUUAUUCACCAGCUUGGUUUAUUAUCUUUUCUCUCCCUUCCAUUCUUAUGUUCUACUCCCUCCGAUCCAUAUUAAUUGUCUCUGAUUUAGUACAGCUUUUUACUAAAUCAGCGACAAUUCUUUUGUACACGUCAUGAGUCUAUUGAUGAAAAGGUCCAUGAAUCCACUUUAUUCACCAGCUUGGUUUAUUAUCUUUUCUCUCCCUUCCAUUCUUAUGUUCUACUCCCUCCGAU